rnacentral:rRNA from 1 species
ACGAACGCUGGCGGCGUGCUUAACACAUGCAAGUCGAGCGGUAAGGCCCUUUCGGGGGUACACGAGCGGCGAACGGGUGAGUAACACGUGGGUGACCUGCCCUCAGCUCUGGGAUAAGCCUGGGAAACCGGGUCUAAUACUGGAUAUGACUCCAUGACGCAUGUUGUGGGGUGGAAAGCCUUGUGCGGCUGAGGAUGGGCCCGCGGCCUAUCAGCUUGUUGGUGGGGUGAGGCCUACCAAGGCGACGACGGGUAGCCGGCCUGAGAGGGCGACCGGCCACACUGGGACUGAGACACGGCCCAGACUCCUACGGGAGGCAGCAGUGGGGAAUAUUGGACAAUGGGGGCAACCCUGAUCCAGCAAUGCCGCGUGAGUGAUGAA